GCCCGUGUGGCGAAAUUGGUAGACGCGCUACUUUGAGGGGGUAGUGUCCUUUCGGAUGUGCUGGUUCGAGUCCAGUCGCGGGCA
rnacentral:tRNA from 1 species